rnacentral:lncRNA from 1 species
UCAUUUCCAUGUACUUCAUGUACAUACAGGUAAUAGUUCAUUUCUAAGUCAUACUAUCUCAUAUAAACAUCAAGAAACAUGUAUGGGCUCAAUAACAACCAAACUCCCAUAUACAUAUACUUUCCACAUCAUGAAUUCAAAUAAUAUAUAUAAUUCAUACCCAUGUAUUUCAAGUACAUUUUCAUAAUAUUUUGUCUCAAGUUCAAAUUAUUUCUGUAGUGACCAAUUUUGGCCCGGGCCUGCUAAAACCCCAAACACAUAUAUACAUAUAAAAUAAUAAAUAAAUAAAUAAAUAAACCAAAGUCCAUUAAUUAAUGUCUUAUUACAAGCCCAAAGACCCAAACAGCCCACUAGUCAAUUAAAACCCUAGCCUAGUUAUCCAAAGUUACGAGGCCUAAAUGGCCCAAAAGACUUCAGCAACCCUAGUACCGCAGCCUCCAGGCGCCGUACAACCCCCAGCCUUGCUUCGUACGACGCCUCCAGCAACCACGCCAAGCCUCCAUACGCCAGCAUGGCUCCCGUACACACGCCAGCGCGCACCCGUGCCUGCAAGAAGACAAACAAAAACAACAACAAGUGCAAACAAAAGGAAUUUAUUGUAUUUUUAUUUAUUUUCGUUAAUUUUUCCUCUUUCUUUUUCGGCUAUAAAGCCAGAUUUGAAUCUUGUAAUCGGGUACACAUGUUUAGGAAUGAAUACACAAUAUGCAAUACACGCAUACUAAACAGAUACUGGAAAAAAAUUCAAAAAGCAAUUGCAAGAAGGUGAUCCGAUUCAAAAUUUCUGAGAUUUUUCCUUUUCUUCUUGGCUUAGUUUCAUUCUUCCUGGAAUUUCUUUUGUUAUUUCGCGUUUUGGGUGUAUAAAAGGGAGAGGGAAUGAAAUCUUACCUCGUAAAUAUGCCGUGAGAUCUCCUCUGCUUCGUUGAAAUCGGGGUCCGAGGGAAGUGGAAGGCGGAAAGAAAACCACCUGGAGACUCGAACAGGCCGAUCUCCGUUCAUCGCGGAGGAUUGACAUGGCAGAUGGAGGGUCAAGGUUCGAUUGAGGGGAGCAAAAAUGGAGGCUAGGGUUUGGGGUUCGGCCUAAUCUGCUGAUUGAGCCCUUUUAUAGGACCUCCAACUAAU